UUAUUUAUUUAUUUAUUUAUUUUUAGUGAGCUGGAGGAAAGGGCAGAGGGAGAGGGACAAGCAGGCUCUUUGAUGAGCAGGAACUCCCCCCCCCCCUUCCAACCCCCCACCAAUAAAGGACUCUAUAUCAGGAUCAUGACCAGAGCUGAAGACAGACACUUAACUGAGCCACACAGGUGCCCAGAAUAUUUGGUGCUUCUGGGUUUUUUAAAAACAUUUUAUAAAACACAGAUCUUGGAUUCUGAUUCUUGAGAUAACCAUUAGUCAUUGUAUUAAUUUUUGAAAUCUGCUAUAGUAGUUUAGUGACUUAAUAUAAAUUCCUUCUUACAGUCUUGAGAUCAGAAGCCUGAAAUCCGUUUUACUAGGCUAAAAUUAGUUUCCUGGUCCUUUUUAGAAGCCCAGAGGAAAAUCCAUUCCUUGCCUCUUUUAGCUUCUGCAAGUUGCUGGAAGGCAUUCAUCACUUGUGGCCACAUCAUUCUAGUCUCUCCCUUAACCAUCACAUUGCCUGAUAUGGUAUAGUGAUCUCUGCUUCCUUCUCAGGGGAUUUGUGAUUAUGUCAUUGGGCCUACCUGGGUAAUCCAAAUAAUUUCCCAUUUUAGAAUCCUUCAUCACAUUUGCAAGAUCCCUUUUAUCUAAGUGCAGUCACAGGUUCUGGGAUUAUGAAAUGGAUGUUUUAGGGGGCCUUUAUUCAGCCUACCACAGCAAUUCUCAAAUUCAUUGUGAAUCUCAAUUCUCCAUGCUACACUCAAUUUUUUUUUUUAAGAUUUUAAUUAUUCAUUUGACAGAGAUCACAAGUAGGCAGAGAGGCAGGCAGAGAGAGGGGGAAGCAGGCUCCCCACUAAGCAGAGAGCCCGACAUGGGGCUCAAUCCCAGGACCUUGGGUUCAUGACCUGAGCCAAAGGCAGAGCUUUAACCCACUGAGCCAUCCAGGUGCCCCUACACUCUUAAUUUUUAAUCUUUUAGUGGUACUUCCUGUUUCUUGUAUGUCACCUAUUGAUGCCUUCCAAUCACAUGGCUCAUUUAAGUCUCUGAAAAUGUUGACCUUGAGACCAUUUCCUGCAGGUUACCAUUUAUCGCAACCUCUUUGUACUGAUCCAUUAAUAACUAAGUUUUUGAUACAUAAAACAGUUCUGUGAUUCAGAGACCUUGCUUACCAGUUUGUGAAAGAGUAGGAGAGUUGCAAGACAGUGGGCUGGAAGAAUGUUUUCCAAACCUCUCUUUACAUCAAAAAGGAAGAGUUUAAAACUACAGAUUGUUGGGUUCUGCCUUUGGAAACUGAUUUGAUUGGAAUGGGAGGGUCGCAAUUUUAAAAGCUUCCCGGGGGUCGGGGAGGGGAUGGGUGGCUCAGUUGGUUAACUGUCUUCAACUCAGGUCAUGAUCCCAGAGUCCUGGGAUUGAGCCCCGAAUCGGACUUGUGGGGAGCCUGCUUCUCCCCCUGCCUGCCUCCCCCUGCUUGUGCUCUCUCUGACAAAAUCUUUAAAAAAAUAAACGCUCUAGGAGUCCCUCUGAUGUAUCAUCAGGAGAUGAGGUAGAAGACUCCAAAACAAGAAGUAGUAAUCGUAGCUAUUGUUUCCUUAAAGGGAGAUAAAGUUGGUGAUAUCAGAAACAUUCACUUUUAGGGUAAGUUCCUGGGGGGAAGAGUUUUUCCCAGGGUUGCAGAGGAUAAGGAAAGCCACAUAGAGCUACCACGAGGAAGAGGAUAGCCCGGACUUUCUGCCUCUUACAGCAGAUUGUGGGCAGAGUUGUCAGUUACCUUGUUUCAUCUUUCCAAUGUGACAGACUACUUCAGACAUGUUGAAUCUUAGUAGUUUGGUGGAUUUCAAAAGUCUUUUUUUUUGUUGUUUUUUUAAUCUAUCUAUGUGACAGCACAAGCACGCGGAGUGACAGGCAGAAUGAGAAGCAGACUGCCACUGCCAGAACAGGGGCUGGAUCCCAGGACCCCAGGAUCACGACCUAAGCAGAAGGCAGCUGCUUAACCGACUGAGCAACUUAGGCGCCCCUAAAAGUCUUGUUUUAUGAGAUUAAUACUAUAUGAGAAUCUUUACCCAUGACUUUGGGGAGAAUAACCCUCUUGUAUUUUGGGUUGAUUUGAUUGAGGGAAAUCAUGUAAAAAUAUUUGUUUAUUAUUUAUUUAUUUGACAGAAAACAAGCAGGGGGAGUGGGAGUGGAAGAAGCAGGUUCUCCAUCAUGCAGGGAGCCUAACAUGGGACUCGAUCCCGAGACCCAGGAUCAUGACCCAAGUUGAAGGCAGACACUUAACUGACCAAGCCACCCAGAUUUAAAAACAAAAACGCAACAACAAACCAAGGCCACAGAAAUUAAGUGUUGGUCCAGAAUUUCCACAGUAUGAUAGUGCAGAGCUGGGGCCUCAAAUCCCUGAACAGUGUGGAAGUUAAUGUAGAAAAGACAAAGAAAGGAUGGUGUCUAGGAAACUAGCAUCACUUCCCAUGUGAUUUCUCAGUAGUACCAGUACGUGAAGAUGCACCAUCAGGGAUCAAGGUCAUGCUGGCUUCAGGAAAAGUUGGGAAGUCUUCCCUCCAUUUCCAUUUUGAAACCGCUUCAGAAGAACAGAUCACAAAGGCAGAGAGGCAGGCAGAGAAGAGAUGGGGGAAGCAGGCUCCCCACUGAGCAGAGAGGCUGAUGCAGGGCUCGAUCCCAGAACCCUGGGAUCAUGACCUGAGCCAAAAGCAGAGGCUUUAACCCUCGGAGCCACCCAGGUGCCCCAUGACCUGGACAUUUUUAAAGCUAGGAGAGCCACAAAUGAUAUUAUGUCCUUCUCAGCAUAUAUCAGGAAUCACAGGAUGUUGGUUUGUUCCAUUAUUAUUAUUGUUCCAUUAUUGUUGAUAGUAACUUUUGAUCUUUUGCUUAAGGUCCAAAGUUUAACUUGACACCAUAAAUAAACAUGUGUGCUAUGUUUGGGAAAUUGAGCCUGAUGAAUGCCGCCUGCCCAGUACCUAAAAUACUCAUAUUCUUAAUUCAGUAGAACCCAGAAGACUCAUCCCCAAGUUGAGCACAGGCUCACCCAUGUGAGAUGCUGAUUCACAAGUGAGUCAGGAGAGGAAGAAUGUUGAACAAAGGGCAGUCGUUUUGCCAAAAAGGAUGGCAGGAGAAACAGUUGGGUUUAGGGAAUGCAAAAUCCCGAAAAAGGUUACAGCUGUGACCUGGACAGUUUUUAGAGUCCCAACAAUGGCCCUUGGUGCUUCAACAGGCUUGUUCUCUUGUGUAGGUUUGCACGUUGUCCUGGAAGCUUAACACUGAGCUUGGUUCUCUAGUCCUCCUGACAACUCUGUAAAUUCUCCAAUCAGUAUUUCUUCUAAUAAGACGUAAUUUACACAUAAUAAAAUGUACCUAUCGUAAAUAUAUAGUUCAAUGGGUUUUUGACAAUUGCAUACACUUGUGUUAUUUUAACCCUUUAUUUGGGUUUCAACAAAAUAAAGAUAUAGAACAUUUCUGUCACCCCAGAAAGUUCCCGUGUGUGCCUUUAUAGCUGCUAUAUACUGAAUGGCUGUGUCCCCCCAAAGUUCAAAUGUUGAAAUCCUCAGUGUGAUGUGUUGAGAGGUGGGCCUUUGGUAGUUUGUUACAUCAUGAGAUGGAGCCCUUAUGAAUGGGCUUUAUGCCCACACUGAAGAGAGUCUGAGAGCUCCCUUGCCCCUUCCACCAUGUGAAGUUAUGCCAAGAAGACAGCUAUCUACUGUUGUUCAACAUAGUACUGGAAGUCCUACCUUCAGUAAUCAGAUAACAAAAAGAAAUGGCGUUCAGAUCAGCAAAGAAGAAGUCAAACUCUCAUUCUUCACAGAUGACAUGAUACUCUUUGUGAAAAACCGAAAAGACUCCACGCAAAAUUUGCUAGAACUCAUACAGGAAUUCAGCAAAGUGACGGGAUAUAAAAUCAGUGCACAGAAAUCUGUUACAUUUCUAUACACUAACAAUGAAACAGAACAAAGAGAAAUUAAGGAGUCAAUCCCAUUUACAAUACACCCAAAACUGGAAGAUACCUAGGAAUAAACCUAAUCAAAGAGGCAAAGGUUAUGCACUCAGAAAGCUAUAGAACACUCAUGAAAGUAGUUGAGGAAGACACAAAAAAAUUGGGAAGAUGGGGGCGCCUGGGUGGCUCAGUGGGUUUAAAGCCUCUGCCUUGGGCACAGGUCAUGACCUCAUGACCUCAGGGUCCUGGGAUGGAGCUCCGCAUUGGUUUCUCUGCCCAGCAGGGAGCCUACCUCCCUUCCUCUCUCUCUGCCUGCCUCUCUGCCUACUUGUGAUCUCUGUCAAAUAAAUAAAUAAAAUCUUUUUAAAAAAUUGGGAAGAUGUUCUAUGCUAACAGAUUGGAAGAACAAUUAUUGUUUAAAUGUCUAUGCUAACUAAAGCAAUCUACACAGUCAAUGCAAUCCCUAUCAAAAUACCAUCAACUUUUUUUCACAGAACUGGAACAAACAAUCCUAAAAUUUGUAUGGAACCAGAAAAGACCCUGAAUAGUCAAAGAAAUGUUGAAAAAGAAAACCAAAACUGGUGGCAUCACAUUGCCUGACUUCAAGCUCUAUUACAAAGCUGUAAUCAUCAAGACCGUAUGGCACUGGCACAAAAACAGACACAUAGAUCAAUGGAAGAGAACAGAGGAGCCAGAAAUGGACCCUCCACUCUAUGGUCAACUAAUCUUUGACAAAGUAGGAAAGAAUGCCCAAUGGAAAAAAGACAGUCUCUUCAACAAAUGGUGUUGGAAAAAUUGGACUGUCACAUGCAGAAGAAUGAAACUGGACCACUUUCUUACACCACACACAAAGAUAGGCUCAAAAUGGACAAAAGACCUGAAGAUGAGAAAGGAAUCCAUCAGAAUCUGAGAGGAGAACACAGACAGCUAAGUCUGUGAUCUUGGCCAUGUGGUUUCCAAAGGUAAGGGAAACAAUGGCAAAAAUGAACCACUGGGACCUCCUCAAGAUAAAAAGCUUUUGCACAGUAAAGACAACAGUCAACAAAACCAAAAGGCAACCCACAGAAUAGGAGAAGAUAUUUGCAAAUGACAUAACAGUUAAAGUUUAGUACCCAAAUCUAUAAGGAACUUACCAAACUCAACACCCAAAGAACAAAUAAUCCUGUCAAGAAAUGGGCAGAAGACAUGAACAGACAUUUCUCCAAAGAAGAUAUCCUAAAGGCCAACAGACACAUGAAGAAAUGCUCCACAUCACUCGGCAUCAGGGAAAUACAAAUCAAAACCACAAUGAGAUACCACCUCACACCAGGCAGAAUGGCUGAAAUUAACAACUCUGGAAAUAACAGAUCUUGGUUAGGAUGCCGAGAAAGGGGAACCCCUCUUACACUUUGGUGGGAAGGCAAGCCGGUAUAGCCACUCUGGAAAACAGUAUGAGGUUCCUCAAAAAUUUGAAACUAGAUCUACCUUAUGGCCCAACAAAUGCAAUACGAAGUAUCCAAAGGAUGCAAACAUAGUCUUUGAGAGGGGCACCUGCACAAUAUUUAUAGCAGCAGUGUCCACAAUAGCCAAAUUGUAGAAAGAGCCCAGAUGUCCAUUGACAGAUGAAUGGAUAAAGAAGAUGUGGUAAUAAUAUACAAUGGAAUAUUAUUCAGCCAUCAAAAAAUCAAAUCUUGCCAUUUUCAAGGACAUGGAUGGAACUAGAGGGUAUUAUGCUAAGUGAAAUAAAUUAGUCUGAGAAAAAGAAAUAUCAUCUGAUUUCACUCAUGUGGAAUUUAAGAAACAAAACAGGUGAACACAGGGGAAGGGAAGGAAAAGGAACACAAACUCAGAGAGGGCAACAAACCAUAAGGGACCCUUAGUUAAAGGAAAUAAACGGAGGGUUGCUGGAAGGGAAGUCGGGGAUGGGGUAAUUGGGUGAUAGACACUUGGAGGGCACUUGAUGUAAGAGCAUUGUGUGUUAUAUGCAAGUGAUGAAUCACUUAAUUCUACCUCUGAAACUAAUAAUACACUAUUAAACUGAGUUUAGGUUAAAAAAAAAAAAAAAAGACGAUAGCCAUCUAUGAAUAAGGAAGCAGAGUUUUCCAGACUCUGAAUCUGCCAACACCUUGAUCUUGGACUUUGAACCUCCAGAACCGUGAGAAGCAGAUUUCUAUUGUUUAAAAGCCACUGGCCUGUGGUAUUCUGUUACAGCAGCCGGGGUGAGCCAAGUUAACAGUCACCCCCGCUCCACCGCCCCAACCCCAUAAGCAGCCACUACUCUGAUUUUCAACAUCGAAGAUUGGUUUCACCUUCUCGAAACUUAGUUUGUCUCUGACCAGAUUUGGGAAUUUUCAGCCACCCGAUUCCCUUCCUCUAAUACUCCCCCCAACCCCCAGAACUCUAAUGAUGUAAAUAUUACACCUUUGUUGUUUCGUUACAGUCCAAAACCCUGAAGGGGUUGUUCUUUUUUUUUUUUUUUUUAAAUCUAUUUCUCUCUGUUGUUCAGAUCGAGUAAUUUCUAUUGCUCUUUCAGUUCAUAGAUACCCCCCCCCCUUCUUUUGUCCUCUUCAUUCUGUGCUGAGCCCAUCCACUGAGCUUUUUAUUUUGGUACUGCAACUCUCAGCUCUAAAAUUUCCAUUUGGUUCUUCUUUAUGUCCUCUAUUUCCUCGCUGAUGCUUUCUAUUUUUUUUUUUUUUCAGUUGUUUUAAGCACAUUCGUAAUUGUUUGUUGAAGCAUUUUUCAUCGUAGGUGCUCCAAACACUUCUAAAGUUAAUUCUGAUGUCUCUGUACUGUUAGCAUCUAUUUUUUGUCUUUUUUCAUUUAGCUUGGGAUCUUUCUAGUUCUUGGUUUGAGGGAUAAUUGUCUCCUGAAACUGGAUAUUUUUAUAUUAUGAGAUUCUAGAUCUCAUAUAUACCUUCUGCAUCAUCUAGCUUUUUCUGACCCGACUCAAGUGUGGGAAACGGAGUACUGCUUGCUUGGUGCUGAAUAGAGGUAGAAAACCAAGUUCCCCACUCAACCUCUGUUGAUGCCUGAUGUGGGUAUUUGUCUCCACUGCUGGCCUGUGCAGGGCUGGGAGUUCCAGUUGCGUACAUGGUCCCUGAUGACGCCUCUGUGGAACUGGCCUCAUUACCACUGAACAAUAGCUAAAGUCCUGACUCUGCACGAAGCCUCCUCUGAGGCCACCACAAUGGGGAGAGAGAGACACACCUCAUUGCUACUGGAUGGGAGUGAAGUCCAAGCUUCCUACGUGAUCUCCACUAACACUUUGGGAUAAGGUUGGGGGGCUCUUACUGGCCAGUGGGGUUGAAAUUAUGGUUCCCUGCUUGCCUUUCUCUGACAUCACCCUAGCCAAAGUAUUUGGGGCCCCUUCAUAUAGACCUGUGAGGGUGGAAAUCAUGCUUCCCGUUCAGUCCACACUGUUUAUAGGUAGGGGUGAGGUCACAGGUUUUAUUGGAGUUUGUCUGGAGUAGAGUGGCUAUUGUCUGAAUAUUUGCUGUCCUGCUAGGCUUUUGUCAAGGUGCUUUGAUCUGCAACAUGGGCGUUUCUAGAUUGCUGGCUUCUUCAGGUCUCAAGUCUGAGAUAUGUGAGGAAAAAUAAAACCAAGGAACUUGA